rnacentral:rRNA from 1 species
GACAGCAGUCGCCACGGUAAAACGUAGGUGGCAAGCGUUGUCCGGAAUUAUUGGGCGUAAAGGGCUCGCAGGCGGUUUCUUAAGUCUGAUGUGAAAGCCCCCGGCUCAACCGGGGAGGGUCAUUGGAAACUGGGAAACUUGAGUGCAGAAGAGGAGAGUGGAAUUCCACGUGUAGCGGUGAAAUGCGUAGAGAUGUGGAGGAACACCAGUGGCGAAGGCGACUCUCUGGUCUGUAACUGACGCUGAGGAGCGAAAGCGUGGGGAGCGAACAGGAUUAGAUACCCCGGUAGUCCCUGUCUCUUAUAC